GGGACCCUCUUAUUUAGCCCGCAGCUGAAAGGAACUUGAUCAACCCGCCGAGAGAACCAAUCUCUGGUAAGC
rnacentral:tRNA from 1 species